ACAGCAGCCGCGGUAAAACGAGGGGGGCAAGCGUUGUUCGGAAUUAUUGGGCGUAAAGGGUGCGUAGGCGGUUUGGCAAGUUUGGUGUGAAAUCUUCGGGCUCAACUCGAAGUCUGCAUCGAAAACUGCCGGGCUUGAGUAUGGGAGAGGUGAGUGGAAUUUCCGGUGUAGCGGUGAAAUGCGUAGAUAUCGGAAGGAACACCUGUGGCGAAAGCGGCUCACUGGACCAUAACUGACGCUGAUGCACGAAAGCUAGGGGAGCAAACAGGAUUAGAGACCCCCGUAGUCCCUGUCUCUUAUACACA
rnacentral:rRNA from 1 species